rnacentral:rRNA from 1 species
GGUUAAGCGACUAAGCGUACACGGUGGAUGCCCUGGCAGUCAGAGGCGAUGAAGGACGUGCUAAUCUGCGAUAAGCGUCGGUAAGGUGAUAUGAACCGUUAUAACCGGCGAUUUCCGAAUGGGGAAACCCAGUGUGUUUCGGCACACUAUCAUUAACUGAAUCCAUAGGUUAAUGAGGCGAACCGGGGGAACUGAAACAUCUAAGUACCCCGAGGAAAAGAAAUCAACCGAGAUUCCCCCAGUAGCGGCGAGCGAACGGGGAGGAGCCCAGAGCCUGAAUCAGUGUGUGUGUUAGUGGAAGCGUCUGGAAAGGCGUGCGAUACAGGGUGACAGCCCCGUACACAAAAAUGCACAUAUUGUGAGCUCGAUGAGUAGGGCGGGACACGUGGUAUCCUGUCUGAAUAUGGGGGGACCAUCCUCCAAGGCUAAAUACUCCUGACUGACCGAUAGUGAACCAGUACCGUGAGGGAAAGGCGAAAAGAACCCCGGCGAGGGGAGUGAAAAAGAACCUGAAACCGUGUACGUACAAGCAGUGGGAGCCUCUUUAUGGGGUGACUGCGUACCUUUUGUAUAAUGGGUCAGCGACUUAUAUUCUGUAGCAAGGUUAACCGAAUAGGGGAGCCGAAGGGAAACCGAGUCUUAACUGGGCGUUAAGUUGCAGGGUAUAGACCCGAAACCCGGUGAUCUAGCCAUGGGCAGGUUGAAGGUUGGGUAACACUAACUGGAGGACCGAACCGACUAAUGUUGAAAAAUUAGCGGAUGACUUGUGGCUGGGGGUGAAAGGCCAAUCAAACCGGGAGAUAGCUGGUUCUCCCCGAAAGCUAUUUAGGUAGCGCCUCGUGAAUUCAUCUCCGGGGGUAGAGCACUGUUUCG